rnacentral:misc_RNA from 1 species
CCUCUUUCCAUGCCUUCGAUCCACCUUUGAAAAACAGAUUAAUGAUAUGCCAAAUGGUUUUAAUUGUAUGUAACACGCCUCGCUAUCUAGCGCAUGAAAUGAUUCUUGUCAAGAUUUUGUAUUUUAGAAGCAGAUUUACUAUUUAAGAAUCGGGAUAUCAAGAAUCAGAUCGAAACAGUACCGUUGAUGGUAAUUAAUUUCUUGAAAUGUAG